UACAGAGGGCGCAAACGUUGCUCGGAAUUAUUGGGCGUAAAGCGCGUGUAGGCGGCUUGUUAAGUUGGUUGUGAAAACCCAUGGCUCAACCAUGGAAGGGCGUCCAAAACUGGCAAGCUAGAGUCCCGACGAGGAUGGCGGAAUUCCCAGUGUAGAGGUGAAAUUCGUAGAUAUUGGGAGGAACACCGGUGGCGAAGGCGGCCAUCUGGGAGGGCACUGACGCUGAGACGCGAAAGCGUGGGGAGCAAACAGG
rnacentral:rRNA from 1 species